rnacentral:rRNA from 1 species
UUCACCGGAGCUUGCUCCACCGGAAAAAGAGGAGUGGCGAACGGGUGAGUAACACGUGGGUAACCUGCCCAUCAGAAGGGGAUAACACUUGGAAACAGGUGCUAAUACCGUAUAACAAUCAAAACCGCAUGGUUUUGAUUUGAAAGGCGCUUUCGGGUGUCGCUGAUGGAUGGACCCGCGGUGCAUUAGCUAGUUGGUGAGGUAACGGCUCACCAAGGCCACGAUGCAUAGCCGACCUGAGAGGGUGAUCGGCCACAUUGGGACUGAGACACGGCCCAAACUCCUACGGGAGGCAGCAGUAGGGAAUCUUCGGCAAUGGACGAAAGUCUGACCGAGCAACGCCGCGUGAGUGAAGAAGGUUUUCGGAUCGUAAAACUCUGUUGUUAGAGAAGAACAAGGAUGAGAGUAACUGUUCAUCCCUUGACGGUAUCUAACCAGAAAGCCACGGCUAACUACGUGCCAGCAGCCGCGGUAAUACGUAGGUGGCAAGCGUUGUCCGGAUUUAUUGGGCGUAAAGCGAGCGCAGGCGGUUUCUUAAGUCUGAUGUGAAAGCCCCCGGCUCAACCGGGGAGGGUCAUUGGAAACUGGGAGACUUGAGUGCAGAAGAGGAGAGUGGAAUUCCAUGUGUAG